rnacentral:rRNA from 1 species
AACGAACGCUGGCGGCGUGCCUAACACAUGCAAGUCGAGCGCGAAAAGGGCAACCUGAGUAGAGCGGCGCACGGGUGCGUAACACGUGGGUAAUCUGCCUGGGAGACAUGGAUAACCAGCCGAAAGGUUGGCUAAUACGUGAUAAGCCCACGGCCUCUUCGGAGGCAGUGGGAAAAGGAUGGCCUCUGUUUACAAGCUAUCGCUUCCGGAUGAGCCCGCGGCCCAUCAGCUAGUUGGCGGGUAAUGGCCCACCAAGGCAACGACGGGUAGCUGGUCUGAGAGGACGAUCAGCCACACUGGAACUGAGACACGGUCCAGACUCCUACGGGUGGCUG